GACCCACUCUGGCAGGCUCUCCCAUCUGCUGCUGCUUCCCCUUCCCCACAAUCAAUUACAUGGGGUUAGUGGGACCCAGGGGCUGGGUAGCUUAGAGGAAAUUUAAGGGGUCAUGAAAACUGACUUUAGAGCAGGAGUUCUCAAACUGGGGGUCAGGAGCUGUCAGCCUCCCCCCAAACCUUGCUUUGCCUCCUGCAUUUAUAAUGGUGUUAAAUAUAUUUUAAUUUAUAGGGGGUCACCAGUACAAAAGUUUGAGAACCACUCCUUUAGAGAAGAGAGUGAUUGUCAGACACCCCCUUCUCAGGAGCAGUGUGAGGACUGCAGCAUUAGAGGAUGCAACCCUCCCUUCUCUGGGCCCUGGCUGUUUGCCCACACCCCUGAGGCCAGUCCCACCCUAUGGCCUGUUAUUGAGUCUGGCCUCUUGCUCUGGGACACUGCACACACCUUCCUGCAGAAGUGCCACAGGGGCAGCCCCCUAGAGUGGUUCCAUUUAAGCCUGGGGGUCAAGUCCAGCACCGAGUGGCGCAGGGGCCCAUCCCAGGGGUCGGUUGUGCUGGCUCUCCAGUGCCCCUUCCUGAACGGAGCAGCUGUCUGGGCAGUGCCCAGGCAGCAGCAGGAGAUGCCAGCUUGUGGGUAUGGCCACAGCCACGUGGCACCUACAGUCAGCCCAGCAGUACCCUCACCAGCAUGACAGGAGCCUAGAGCCUUCAGGAAAACAUUUAUUCAUGGCACAGCAGUUUAAAAACCUAACUGGAGAACAGGGCCCCAGUGGCAGGUGCCACUUGCAGAAGGAAAGAGGGGACCCUGAUUCCCCCCGCUAGCCUUAACACAAUCCAAAAUCCAGUGGCUGCUCCAGCAGGUGCAGGCUGCAUGCACUGGCCCCUAGCUCACUGGCCUGCAGGGGGUCAAGCCCCAGC